rnacentral:rRNA from 1 species
GACGAACGCUGGCGGCGUGCUUAACACAUGCAAGUCGAACGAUGAAGGAGGAGCUUGCUCCUCUGGAUUAGUGGCGAACGGGUGAGUAACACGUGAGCAAUCUGCCCUUGACUCUGGGAUAAGCGCUGGAAACGGCGUCUAAUACCGGAUACGACCCUCGGAGGCAUCUCCUGUGGGUGGAAAGAACUUCGGUCAAGGAUGAGCUCGCGGCCUAUCAGCUUGUUGGUGAGGUAAUGGCUCACCAAGGCGACGACGGGUAGCCGGCCUGAGAGGGUGACCGGCCACACUGGGACUGAGACACGGCCCAGACUCCUACGGGAGGCAGCAGUGGGGAAUAUUGCACAAUGGGCGCAAGCCUGAUGCAGCAACGCCGCGUGAGGGACGACGGCCUUCGGGUUGUAAACCUCUUUUAGCAGGGAAGAAGCGAGAGUGACGGUACCUGCAGAAAAAGCACCGGCUAACUACGUGCCAGCAGCCGCUGUAACAC